GUGCCAGCCGCCGCGGUAAUACAUGUGGGGCAAGCGUUGUUCGGAAUUACUGGGCAUAAAGGGUGCGUAGGCGGCUUGUUAAGUCAGGGGUGAAAGUUUUCGGCCCAACCGGAAAAUGGCCUUUGAUACUGGCGAGCUCGAGUGCGUGAGGGGUGACUGGAACGAGCAGUGUAGCGGUGAAAUGCGUAGAUAUUGCUCGGAAGGCCAACGGCGAAGGCAGGUCACUGGUACGCAACUGACGCUGAGGCACGAAAGCGUGGGGAGCAAACAGGAUUAGAUACCCUAGUAGUCC
rnacentral:rRNA from 1 species